rnacentral:rRNA from 1 species
GACGAACGCUGGCGGCGUGCUUAACACAUGCAAGUCGAACGAUGAAGCUGGAGCUUGCUCCGGUGGAUUAGUGGCGAACGGGUGAGUAACACGUGAGCAAUCUGCCCUUGACUCUGGGAUAACUGCGGGAAACUGUAGCUAAUACCGGAUAUGAGGCUUGGAGGCAUCUCCAGGUCUGGAAAGAAUUUCGGUCAAGGAUGAGCUCGCGGCCUAUCAGCUAGUUGGUGAGGUAAUGGCUCACCAAGGCGACGACGGGUAGCCGGCCUGAGAGGGUGACCGGCCACACUGGGACUGAGACACGGCCCAGACUCCUACGGGAGGCAGCAGUGGGGAAUAUUGCACAAUGGGCGAAAGCCUGAUGCAGCAACGCCGCGUGAGGGAUGAAGGCCUUCGGGUUGUAAACCUCUUUUAGCAGGGAAGAAGCGAAAGUGACGGUACCUGCAGAAAAAGCACCGGCUAACUACGUGCCAGCCGCCGCAGUAA